UGGGGAAUAUUGCACAAUGGGCGCAAGCCUGAUGCAGCCAUGCCGCGUGUGUGAAGAAGGCCUUCGGGUUGUAAAGCACUUUCAGCGAGGAGGAAGGUGGUGAGCUUAAUACGCCCAUCAAUUGACGUUACUCGCAGAAGAAGCACCGGCUAACUCCGUGCCAGCAGCCGCGGUAAUACGGAGGGUGCAAGCGUUAAUCGGAAUUACUGGGCGUAAAGCGCACGCAGGCGGUUUGUUAAGUCAGAUGUGAAAUCCCCGGGCUCAACCUGGGAACUGCAUUUGAAACUGGCAAGCUAGAGUCUCGUAGAGGGGGGUAGAAUUCCAGGUGUAGCGGUGAAAUGCGUAGAGAUCUGGAGGAAUACCGGUGGCGAAGGCGGCCCCCUGGACGAAGACUGACGCUCAGGUGCGAAAGCGUGGGGCAGCAAACAGGAUUAGAUACCCUGGUAGUCCACGCUGUAAACGAUGUCGAUUUGGAGGUUGUGCCCUUGAGGCGUGGCUUCCGGAGCUAACGCGUUAAAUCGACCGCCUGGGGAGUACGGCCGCAAGGUUAAAACUCAAAUGAAUUGAC
rnacentral:rRNA from 1 species